UACGUAGGGUGCGAGCGUUGUCCGGAAUUAUUGGGCGUAAAGGGCUCGUAGGCGGUUUGUCGCGUCGGGAGUGAAAACACCGGGCUUAACUCGGUGCUGGCUUUCGAUACGGGCAGACUAGAGGUAUUCAGGGGAGAACGGAAUUCCUGGUGUAGCGGUGAAAUGCGCAGAUAUCAGGAGGAACACCGGUGGCGAAGGCGGUUCUCUGGACAGUUCCUGACACUGAGGCACGAAGGCCAGGGGAGCAAACGGG
rnacentral:rRNA from 1 species